rnacentral:rRNA from 1 species
CGGGCCUGGCGCGAUUGGAUGAGCCACGUCGGAUUAGCUAGUUGGCGGGUAAAGGCCCACCAAGGCGACGAUCCGUAGCUGGUCUGAGAGGAUGAUCAGCCACACUGGAACUGAGACACGGUCCAGACUCCUACGGGAGGCAGCAGUAGGGAAUAUUGGACAAUGGGCGCAAGCCUGAUCCAGCCAUGCCGCGUGAGUGAAGAAGGCCCUCGGGUUGUAAAGCUCUUUUGUCCGGAAAGAAAAGCGCCGGGUUAAUACCCUGGUGUCCUGACGGUACCGGAAGAAUAAGCACCGGCUAACUUCGUG